CGCGUAGGCGGUCUGUUAAGUGGGAUGUGAAAUCCCCGGGCUUAACCUGGGAAUUGCAUUUCAAACUGGCCGACUAGAGUACGGUAGAGGGAGGUAGAAUUUCCUGUGUAGCGGUGAAAUGCGUAGAUAUAGGAAGGAAUACCAGUGGCGAAGGCGGCCUCCUGGAUCGAUACUGACGCUGAGGCGCGAAAGCGUGGGGAAGCAAACA
rnacentral:rRNA from 1 species